rnacentral:rRNA from 1 species
AUUGAACGCUGGCGGCAUGCUUUACACAUGCAAGUCGAACGGCAGCGCGGGCUUCGGCCUGGCGGCGAGUGGCGAACGGGUGAGUAAUGCAUCGGAACGUGCCCAGUAGUGGGGGAUAGCCCGGCGAAAGCCGGAUUAAUACCGCAUACGACCUGAGGGUGAAAGCGGGGGACCGAAAGGCCUCGCGCUAUUGGAGCGGCCGAUGUCGGAUUAGCUAGUUGGUGGGGUAAAGGCUUACCAAGGCGACGAUCCGUAGCUGGUCUGAGAGGACGACCAGCCACACUGGGACUGAGACACGGCCCAGACUCCUACGGGAGGCAGCAGUGGGGAAUUUUGGACAAUGGGGGCAACCCUGAUCCAGCCAUGCCGCGUGCGGGAAGAAGGCCUUCGGGUUGUAAACCGCUUUUGUUCGGGAAGAAAUCCUCUGGGCUAAUACCCCGAGGGGAUGACGGUACCGGAAGAAUAAGCACCGGCUAACUACGUG